rnacentral:lncRNA from 1 species
CAUCUGUUUCUCUGCCUUAGUAACAUUACAGUAAUGAUGAGCAGAUGAGGAGUGAAAGGAAGUGAAGGCAAGGGCAGCCCCCAAAUGAAAAAGCUUUCUGUUCCACCAAGUCUUUUUUGCCCAGAUAGGGAAAGCUUUUCUCCUUUAAACAAUGCUCAUCUUAGUGACAAGUGAAUGACUGAAACACAAAGUGAAGUGGAGAGCAAGGGGUAAUUGGGUUAAUUCAAUUUGACCUAUAUUUCCAAGAUUUGAUCAAAGACUGACUAAAUAAUUUGAUGGAAGUUGUUUGGUUGUUUUGUUUUGUUUUUAAAAAGAUUAAUUACAGGUUGUAGGAAAAUCGUCACAACAUUCUAAACUUGACAAAUAUUGUGUGAGAUCUGGAUACAACACUGAUACUGACCAAGAAUAAUUUCAAAUUCCUCAGGAAAUUAGUAGCUUAUGUACAAACCUAUGCAGUGGAUGACAGAGGCUAUGUGAGUCUAACUAAUGUCUUAGCGAAUUACUUUGAAAUUACUGGUGAGCAGAAUUGCCUUUAUUAGAUCAUGGUGAAAAGGUGAGAGUGGCUGGGAAAAGGAAUCAUCUGGAUGCCAGGGAAGGCAGCCAGGGAGUUCUGGAGAGACUGGCAUCAAGACUGGGAGGAGGGAGCAGUCCGACUGGGAGGAAAUUCAGGAGAGAAACAGAGCUCUACAAGGAGAGAAAUUGCUAUCCUGCAUUAUGACAAAGAAAGCCAGAGAUCCCCAGCCUGCUUUACAUGGAGAUAA